UAAAUCAGGGCUCUAUGUAAAUCCGGAAUGAUGUUUGGUACAGGCCGGGCAAUGGAGAAUCAUUGUUAAAGGUGAUAUUGCAGGCAUCAUCAUGGCCACAUCAAAGGUCCUAAGCUCUAGGUCCACAACUACUGCCUUCCCCAAGAAGGCCAUCUUUGACGCUACAUCAGCAAGGUCACCGUCUGCAGAGGACUCAUUUUUUGCCUCACAAUUUCAUUUCUACAGGUUAUAAUCCAAUUUAGUUAAUUAUUUGAGUUUGUUGUCUCUGGCAUUUGUUCGAUCCAAAAGAAAACUGUUAGCAUU